AUAUCAACAAGCAAAAAACCUAGUAUAUCGUUUAUUCUUUUCAGAGAGCUGAUGGUAGGUGUGAAUCAGUAAAGAAAAACGGUAGAAUCCAGUUUUUAAUGUUUCUUUUAAAAAAAGAACCUGCACUCUUUGGUUACAAGAGUCAAGUGCGGCAAUUUAGCCGAACUUGGGUGGCACCGCGAAGCAAACUAUUUCGUCCCAAGC
rnacentral:ncRNA from 1 species